GGCCAAUGUACUUAAAGUACUAAAGAGAUUGACUUGACUUUCCCAUCUUCAGAAAACCCAUUUCAAGCACUUGCUUCCAUAUCCAUAAUGAAGAUGUUGAAAUUGUCCCAAGUUCAAAUCCGUGUUCACAGUGUGAUAUAGAAGAGGCAUAUGUGCUUACAAAGGAUGGUGAGAAGCAAGAAUUUACUUCUGCAAGUGAUUUGCAGUCUAGUUCUUCUCCAGUAUUAGUUAAAGAGCAAGGAAAAGGUUUAUAUAUUGAAGAUGAACUUGUUUUUACUGAUUGUUUGAGGCAAUAUAGUAAGUGGUUACCAACUCUUCAGACACUCUUGAGCCGCCUGAACGUUUUGUUUGUGGAGGAC
rnacentral:lncRNA from 11 species